UAAUGUCCACAUUUUGCUCCAGAUCAUCCCCUCCUCCCAGCGGGAAGGAAAUGGCUUCAAUGGAGCUGGCUCAGGGGUUGGUGACUUUCGAGGAGGUGGCUGUGUAUUUCACCAAGGGGGAAUGGGCUCUGCUGGACCCUACUCAGAGAGCCCUCUACAGGGAUGUCAUGCAGGAGAACUAUGAAACGGUGGUCUUGUUGGCACAGGAGAGCAUAGGUGACCACAGAGAGCUCAUCAGCACAGAUAACCAUGCAGGCCGAUAAUCGAAAAAGAGCACCAGCAUGGACCGUACGGGAGGUACUGGAUC